rnacentral:rRNA from 1 species
UACGAGGGGUGCAAGCGUUAUUCGGAAUCAUUGGGCGUAAAGGGUGUGUAGGCGGCAUGUCAAGUCUGUUGUUAAAUCUCCCAGCCUAACUGGGAAAAUGCAAUGGAAACUGAUGUGAUAGAGGAUGGAAGAGAGAAGUGGAAUUCUCGGAGUAGCGGUAAAAUGCGUAGAUCUCGAGAGGAACACCGAUGGCGAAGGCAGCUUCUUGGUCCAUUCCUGACGCUGAUACACGAAAGCGUGGGGAGCAAACAGG